GGAUCCGAAGGUGAUUUGGCUGCACUAUCUGCCACCUCUUUGUUCACCAGAGUUGAAACUGCUGAUCUGGUUGCCUAGACUGGUGUUUCCUUCCUCCCUCCUCGCACCCCUCCAGAACCUGAGCACUCGGUCAAGAGGAUGACCUUCCCUUAUAGAAAAGAACCAGUCUUCUGUAAAGAAUAGAAGAGUAGCUGCACUUACCUGCUAGAAAUUCCAGACAAUUUCUCAAGAUCCUUUUU
rnacentral:lncRNA from 1 species